UCAGUUUUUAUAUUGAACUACUUGUUUAACCUUUCUUUAUAUCGAUGAUCGGUAAUAUCAUCAUUGACUGAUUAUAAAUAGACAAAAUUUGUAUGGCCGUGUAUUCCGUGCCUCGCGAUUCCAGUAUGUAGAAUAUAUAGAGUGAUUCAGUAGAAAUGCACCACCUGAACAUUUUUCUAUAAUACCAUAGAAAUCAAAUAUACGGGCUAACUUCAGGUGGUUACGUUUCUAAUGAAUAAUCCUGUAUAUCGAUAUACAUAUAAUAUUUCAAUAGGAAAAUCCAUUUGCAGGUAGUCGCGACACUCAACUUGCGUGUCUACCGUUCCGAUAAAAUGUUUAGUAUACUUAGUUUUGGUUCAAGAUAUCAUUUAUGAUUAGCAGUCGAUAAGAUACAUAGACAAAUAGCACAACGGAUAAAAGCUGAAUAUGUUUUACACCUACCUACAACUGCACGUGUAAUUUUAUUAGAACGUGAAUCAUAUUUCAAAACAGUAGAAUCCAAAAUAUCAACGUAAUAUAGGACUUGGCCCUCAGCAUCCCAGUGAGGUCCUUCUCCAAUUACCAAUCUUGUGUCAUCAAGUAAUGAAACUUUUGGUGCCAUAGUAUCUUCAAUUGUACGUAAUUUUAACUACUGCAAUAAAGUAACAACACGAUUCUGAAAAAAUAUAAAAA